rnacentral:rRNA from 1 species
AGAGUUUGAUCCUGGCUCAGGAUGAACGCUGGCGGCGUGGAUAAGGCAUGCAAGUCGAGUGGGUUUAGACCCACGGCGAACGAGGUAGUAACACGUAGGUACGCACCCCAAAGUCGGGCAUAACUAGCCGAAAGGUUAGAUAAUUCCCGAUAGUCUCUUCGGAGUAAAGAUUUAUCGCUUUGGGAGCGGCCUGCGCGCUAUCAGCUAGUUGGUAAGGUAACGGCUUACCAAGGCUAUGACGGCUAGGGGAGCUGAGAGGCUGACCCCCACCGAUGGUACUGAGACACGGUCCAGACUCCUACGGGAGGCAGCAGUGGGGAAUUUUGGACAAUGGGCGCAAGCCUGAUCCAGCCAUGCCGCGUGGGUGAAGAAGGCCUGCGGGUUGUAAAGCCCUUUCAGUUGGGAAGAAAGGCCCUGUGCUAAGACCACGGGGUGUUGACGUUACCGACAGAAGAAGCACCGGCUAACUCCGUGCCAGCAGCCGCGGUAAUACGGAGGGUGCGAGCGUUAAUCGGAAUUACUGGGCGUAAAGGGCGCGUAGGCGGUUCAGUGCGUUGGAUGUGAAAGCCCUGGGCUUAACCUGGGAAUGGCAUUCGAUACGGCUGGGCUAGAGUAUGGUAGAGGGAAGUGGAAUUUCCGGUGUAACGGUGAAAUGUGUAGAGAUCGGAAGGAACACCAGUGGCGAAGGCGACUUCCUGGACCAAUACUGACGCUCAAGCGCGAAAGCGUGGGGAUCAAACAGGAUUAGAUACCCCGGUAGUCC